rnacentral:rRNA from 1 species
GAUGAACGCUGGCGGCGUGCCUAAUACAUGCCAGUCGAGCGAACGGACGAGAAGCUUGCUUCUCUGAUGUUAGCGGCGGACGGGUGAGUAACACGUGGAUAACCUACCUAUAAGACUGGGAUAACUUCGGGAAACCGGAGCUAAUACCGGAUAAUAUUUUGUACCGCAUGGUUCAAAAGUGAAAGACGGUCUUGCUGUCACUUAUAGAUGGAUCCGCGCUGCAUUAGCUAGUUGGUAAGGUAACGGCUUACCAAGGCAACGAUGCAUAGCCGACCUGAGAGGGUGAUCGGCCACACUGGAACUGAGACACGGUCCAGACUCCUACGGGAGGCAGCAGUAGGGAAUCUUCCGCAAUGGGCGAAAGCCUGACGGAGCAACGCCGCGUGAGUGAUGAAGGUCUUCGGAUCGUAAAACUCUGUUAUUAGGGAAGAACAUAUGUGUAAGUAACUGUGCACAUCUUGACGGUACCUAAUCAGAAAGCCACGGCUAACUACGUG